CCUACGGGAGGCAGCAGCGGGGAAUAUUGCACAAUGGGCGCAAGCCUGAUGCAGCGACGCCGCGUGGGGGAUGACGGCCUUCGGGUUGUAAACUCCUUUCGUUAGGGACGAAGCCGCACCUGUUUUGGGUGUGGUGACGGUACCUUUGUUAAGAAGCACCGGCUAACUACGUGCCAGCAGCCGCGGUAAUACGUAGGGUGCGAGCGUUGUCCGGAAUUACUGGGCGUAAAGAGCUCGUAGGUGGUUUGUUGCGUCGUCUGUGAAAUUCCGGGGCUUAACUUCGGGGAGGCAGGCGAUACGGGCAUAACUAGAGUGCUGUAGGGGAGACUGGAAUUCCUGGUGUAGCGGUGGAAUGCGCAGAUAUCAGGAGGAACACCGAUGGCGAAGGCAGGUCUCUGGGCAGUAACUGACGCUGAGGAGCGAAAGCAUGGGGAGCGAACAGGAUUAGAUACCCUGGUAGUCCAUGCUGUAAACGGUGGGCGUUAGGUGUGGGGACCGGUUUGGUUUCUGUGCCGUAGCUAACGCAUUAAGCGCCCCGCCUGGGGAGUACGGCCGCAAGGCUAAAACUCAAAGGAAUUGACGG
rnacentral:rRNA from 1 species